rnacentral:rRNA from 1 species
UGGGGAAUAUUGGACAAUGGGCGAAAGCCUGAUCCAGCCAUGCCGCGUGUGUGAAGAAGGUCUUCGGAUUGUAAAGCACUUUAAGUUGGGAGGAAGGGCAGUUACCUAAUACGUAAUUGUUUUGACGUUACCGACAGAAUAAGCACCGGCUAACUCUGUGCCAGCAGCCGCGGUAAUACAGAGGGUGCAAGCGUUAAUCGGAAUUACUGGGCGUAAAGCGCGCGUAGGUGGUUUGUUAAGUUGGAUGUGAAAUCCCCGGGCUCAACCUGGGAACUGCAUUCAAAACUGACUGACUAGAGUAUGGUAGAGGGUGGUGGAAUUUCCUGUGUAGCGGUGAAAUGCGUAGAUAUAGGAAGGAACACCAGUGGCGAAGGCGACCACCUGGACUA